rnacentral:misc_RNA from 1 species
GAUGAAGAACGCAGCUAAAUGCGAUAAGUAAUGUGAAUUGCAGAAUUCAGUGAAUCAUCGAAUCUUUGAACGCACAUUGCGCCCGCCAGUAUUCUGGCGGGCAUGCCUGUUCGAGCGUCAUUUCAACCAUCAAGCCCCGGGCUUGUGUUGGGGACCUGCGGCUGCCGCAGGCCCUGAAAUGCAGUGGCGGGCUCGCUGUCACUCCGAGCGUAGUAGUUACAUCUCGCUCUGGGCGUGCUGCGGGUUCCGGCCGUUAAAAGCCUUAUUUACCCAAGGUUGACCUCGGAUCAGGUAGGAAGACCCGCUGAACUUAAGCAUAUCAAUAAGCGGAGGA